UACGAAGGGUGCAAGCGUUACUCGGAAUUACUGGGCGUAAAGCGUGCGUAGGUGGUGGCUUAAGUCCGUUGUGAAAGCCCUGGGCUCAACCUGGGAAUUACAGUGGAUACUGGGUCACUAGAGUACGGUAGAGGGUGGUGGAAUUUCCUGUGUAGCGGUGAAAUGCGUAGAUAUAGGAAGGAACACCAGUGGCGAAGGCGGCCACCUGGGCCAACACUGACACUGAGGCACGAAAGCGUGGGGAGCAAACAGG
rnacentral:rRNA from 1 species